rnacentral:rRNA from 1 species
GAUGAACGCUGGCGGCGUGCCUAAUACAUGCAAGUCGAGCGAACAGACGAGGAGCUUGCUCCUCUGACGUUAGCGGCGGACGGGUGAGUAACACGUGGAUAACCUACCUAUAAGACUGGGAUAACUUCGGGAAACCGGAGCUAAUACCGGAUAAUAUAUUGAACCGCAUGGUUCAAUAGUGAAAGACGGUUUUGCUGUCACUUAUAGAUGGAUCCGCGCCGCAUUAGCUAGUUGGUAAGGUAACGGCUUACCAAGGCAACGAUGCGUAGCCGACCUGAGAGGGUGAUCGGCCACACUGGAACUGAGACACGGUCCAGACUCCUACGGGAGGCAGCAGUAGGGAAUCUUCCGCAAUGGGCGAAAGCCUGACGGAGCAACGCCGCGUGAGUGAUGAAGGUCUUCGGAUCGUAAAACUCUGUUAUUAGGGAGAAACAAAUGUGUAAGUAACUAUGCACGUCUUGACGGUACCUAAUCAGAAAGCCACGGCUAACUACGUG